GAUGAACGCUGGCGGCGUGCCUAAUACAUGCAAGUCGAGCGAACAGACGAGAGUGCUUGCACUCUCUGACGUUAGCGGCGGACGGGUGAGUAACACGUGGGUAACCUACCUAUAAGACUGGGAUAACUUCGGGAAACCGGAGCUAAUACCGGAUAAUAUUUAGCUUCGCAUGAAGCAAUAGUGAAAGACGGUUCUGCUGUCACUUAUAGAUGGACCCGCGGUGUAUUAGCUAGUUGGUGAGGUAACGGCUCACCAAGGCAACGAUACAUAGCCGACCUGAGAGGGUGAUCGGCCACACUGGGACUGAGACACGGCCCAGACUCCUACGGGAGGCAGCAGUAGGGAAUCUUCCGCAAAGGACGGAAGUCUGACGGAGCAAUGCCGCGUGAGUGAAGAAGGUUUUCGGAUCGUAAAACUCUGUUGUAAGGGAAGAACAAGUACGUUAGUAACUGAACGUACCUUGACGGUACCUUACCAGAAAGCCACGGCUAACUACGUG
rnacentral:rRNA from 1 species